rnacentral:rRNA from 1 species
AUUGAACGCUGGCGGCAUGCUUUACACAUGCAAGUCGAACGGUAACAGGUUAAGCUGACGAGUGGCGAACGGGUGAGUAAUGCAUCGGAACGUGCCCGGUCGUGGGGGAUAACGCAGCGAAAGCUGCGCUAAUACCGCAUACGAUCUGAGGAUGAAAGCGGGGGACCGUAAGGCCUCGCGCGAUCGGAGCGGCCGAUGUCAGAUUAGGUAGUUGGUGGGGUAAAGGCUCACCAAGCCGACGAUCUGUAGCUGGUCUGAGAGGACGACCAGCCACACUGGGACCGAGACACGGCCCAGACUCCUACGGGAGGCAGCAGUGGGGAAUUUUGGACAAUGGGCGCAAGCCUGAUCCAGCAAUGCCGCGUGCAGGAAGAAGGCCUUCGGGUUGUAAACUGCUUUUGUACGGAGCGAAAAGGCUCUCUCUAAUACAGGGGGCUCAUGACGGUACCGUAAGAAUAAGCACCGGCUAACUACGUGCCAGCAGCCGCCGUAA